rnacentral:rRNA from 1 species
CCUACGGGAGGCAGCAGUAGGGAAUCUUCCACAAUGGGCGAAAGCCUGAUGGAGCAACGCCGCGUGAGUGAUGAAGGCCUUCGGGCUGUAAAACUCUGUCAUUCGGGACGAACCGGAGUCUGAGGAAAUGCAGACUCUCUGACGGUACCGGAGGAGGAAGCCCCGGCUAACUACGUGCCAGCAGCCGCGGUAAUACGUAGGGGGCAAGCGUUGUCCGGAUCCACUGGGCGUAAAGCGCGCGCAGGCGGUGAUGUAAGUCUGAGGUGAAAACCCGAAGCUCAACUUCGGGACUGCCUUGGAUACUGCGUCACUUGAGGAUAGGAGAGGCAAGGGGAAUUCCACGUGUAGCGGUGAAAUGCGUAGAGAUGUGGAGGAACACCUGUGGCGAAGGCGCCUUGCUGGCCUAUUUCUGACGCUGAGGCGCGAAAGCGUGGGGAGCAAACAGGAUUAGACUACCCUGGUAGUCCACGCUAGUAAACGAUGAGUGCUAGGUGUAGGUGGGCUCAUACCCAUCUGUGCCGAAGCUAACGCAUUAAGCACUCCCGCCGUGGGGAAGUCGGUCGCAAGACUGAAACUCGAAAGGAAUUGACGG